CAGAGGUGAGGAGGGUGUCAUAAAGCCACAGGUGGUGUUUACUCUCUUUUUGAAGUCCUUUUGUUCCUUUGGAUAUCCCUUCUCAGAUCGGUCUUAUUACAGGUUUAUGAUUUCGCUCCUUACAUCACUGACCUGACCUGCGUUUUAUUCUUGGAGGAAAUCUGACGUGUCUUUAUUGGAGACAAAACCAGCACACUUGUGAUCAAAGGCCUGCCGUUUCCUUCAAUCUGAGGAACAGUCGUAAUGCUUCCUCCCAGUUACAUGGAUUGUGUUUCACUGCAAAUUCGACAUGUUCCUGGAUGUUUUAGUCAUUGUCAGCCUCAACUUAUCUUCUAUAACCUCAAAGUGUCUUGAUCUAUACCUGCAAGAGGAUUUCUGUUUCCAUUUAGUGUUCCACAGUCAGUUGGGUCUCAUAGAUACAACACCAAGCGUUGAACACAAGUGUCCCCAUCAGUGACGUGUCUUCUGUCCUGUCCAUCGUGGGUUAAGUUCUUGCAUCAAACAAACGACACGCAUAGGUUUAACAUACACCCUGUAUUUCUGCACAACCUCUCUGUUAUUACUGUGUUUCUCACGUUGAUUCAUGGAAAAGAGCCUGAAUCCUCAGGUGUUCACGCACACACAGUUCCAGCUCACUUUGACUGUCACGUGUUUGGUCCAGUCAGUCUUCAUCUUCUGGUUUGUCUGUUUUGUCAUCGUUUUUUUUAACUUGUUGUUGUGUUUUCUGAAUUGUUAUUGUGAUUCAGGGAUUUGCGUUAAAAAUGUAUUUUGUGUUCAGAUUUGUGAUUUGUUUUUCACUUCUCGGCCACCAUGCAGUAGAUUAUUCAUUUGCUAUGGUAAUUUAUUAAUUAGAGGAAAAGAUGCAUUGUGAUGCUUAAUCAAAACCAUAAUCCAAUCAAAUUGUUUCACAACAGUGGUUUAAUAUAGAUAUCAGCAGGGUUGGUUUUAUUUUGCAAUUAUUUUUUGCAAUUUUAUAAAGUGUUUCCUUCCUGAACAAAAUUUAACAAAUUUAAUUGUAACUAAGUUACAUGUUUUUUUUGCAAGCAUUUCAGAUGUAUUUAAACCAAACAAAUAAUUUGCAAUCACUUACUGUCAGAAUUAACAAGACGUACUAUCCACUAAACCCCCUUCAGACAGUGAACUACAGCAGAGAGACUGAGACACGGACAAUCUCUUAUUAUGACCUCUUCUGUGUACAGCUGCAGCGCAAUAAAUCAGAAUUUCAGUAAAUCAACUCAAAUUGUGAAACUUGCGUGUUAAAUAAAUUCAGUGCAGACACACUAGUUAUUUAAUUCUUUUUUUUAAUUAUGAUUUUGGCUCAUAUGUAACAAAAACCCACCAAUCUCAACAAAUGACAACACGGUGACAUGCCAAUCAGCUAAUCACUGCAACACCUGCAAAGGUCUCUCAGUUUGGUUCACUAUUCUUCUCAAUCCUUGUGUCACGUCUUUGGAUCCUUUGUUGUUGUUUUUGUCUUGUGUCGUGUGCUCGGUGUUCCCUACCUCUAUUCGUGUUAAUUGUGUCAUUGUCCUCACCUGUGUCUAGUUAAUUUAGUGAUUUCCUUGUGUAUUUAAGUCCUGUGUUUGUAUCGUCGAGGUUUAUACGUGUGGUUUAUGUUCUGCCUGUCUGGCUGCCUAGAAGAUUUGAAGAAGAUUAAAACUGUUUAAGUUUA